AUGAUGGAAGCCCUACAUAUCAAAGAAAACAGAAGCCAAUUGACAUUAAACACAAGCAUACCUGCAACCAUGAAUAAACAGCCCUGCAUAAGCCCUGCACAUUACAAACUUAUAACAGAAAAGAUUAGAAUAAUUCAAAAUUCCAAAAAUAAUUUAUUAACAUUUUAUACCAAAAUUACAAAACUAACAGCUUCAACCUCCUAA